rnacentral:rRNA from 1 species
CAAGUCGAGCGAGAACCAGACCCUCGGGUCUGGGGACAGCGGCGAACGGGUGAGUAACACGUGGGUAAUCAACCCUCGGUACUGGGAUAGCCCGGGGAAACCCGGAUUAAUACCGGAUGGCCCUUCGGAUCUUCGGUUCUGAAGGAAAAGGUAGCUUCGGCCUCCGACCGAGGACGAGCCCGCGGCGGAUUAGCUUGUUGGUGGGGUAACGGCCUACCAAGGCGGCGAUCCGUAGCUGGUCUGAGAGGACGAUCAGCCACACUGGGACUGAGACACGGCCCAGACUUCUACGGAAGGCAGCAGUGGGGAAUCUUGCGCUAAUGCGGGAAACCGUGACGCAGCGACGCCGCGUGAGGGAAGAAGGCCUUCGGGUUGUAAACCUCUUUCAGGAGGGACGAAGCCACUCAGGUUAAUAGCCGAGAGGGUGACGGUACCUCCAGAAGAAGCCCCGGCUAACUACGUGCCAGCAGCCGCGGUAAUACGUAGGGGGCAAGCGUUGUCCGGAUUUAUUGGGCGUAAAGAGCGUGUAGGCGGCUUUACAGGUCCGUUGUGAAAACUCGAGGCUCAACCUCGAGACGCCGGUGGAAACCGUAAGGCUAGAGUCCGGAAGAGGAGAGUGGAAUUCCUGGUGUAGCGGUGAAAUGCGCAGAUAUCAGGAGGAACACCCGUGGCGAAAGCGGCUCUCUGGGACGGUACUGACGCUGAGACGCGAAAGCGUGGGGAGCAAACAGGAUUAGAUACCCUGGUAGUCCACGCCGUAAACGAUGGGUGCUAGGUGUGGGCGGUGUCGACUCCGUCCGUGCCGAAGCUAACGCAUUAAGCACCCCGCCUGGGGAGUACGGCCGCAAGGCUAAAACUCAAAGGAAUUGACGGGGA